ACAGAAGUUGGUGAUUGACGG
rnacentral:siRNA from 1 species